UGUCUCUCUCUCUCUUCAGCGUCUCUCUAUCUCUCCGGUGCUCCUCUCCCUUCAGAACGGAACCAUGCCCGCUCUCUCUAUCUCUCCGGUGUAAUAUAUAUUUACACCACCCCAAAUCCGGAACGAAACACAUCACAGCCCCCCGUAAUUCGAUCUGCCAACACAACAAACGGGAAACAUUUUCACUAUUAGAGAGAAAGAGAGAGAGAGUGAGUGAGUGAGAGAGAUGGGGCUGGGGUUGCUAGCUUCCAGAGCCCUGAGUUUCAAAUCUCCAAACCCUAGAUAUACCAUCGUUCGAACCAUCGUCUCCACAGCUGAGCUCCAGAAGCCAGAAGCUACUGCUGAAGCCCAGCCUCCGCUAGAUGAUCUCCAAAAUCGAACCCCAGUGGGAGGAGCUAGGGUCCACUUCUCCAACCCCGGAAGACGCGAUCGAGGUGUUCGUGGAUGGCUAUAAAAAUCCCAAAGGGGAUGACCGUUCUACAGGCCUGCGAGGUCGCCGGCGUCGAAAUUCCCAGAUUCUGCUACCACAGCCGCCUCUCCAUUGCCGAAAACUGCCGUACGUGCCUUGUCCAGGUCGAGAAGUCGCCUAAGCCCGUCGCUUCUUGCACCAUGCCCGCUCUUCGAGAAUGAAGGGAUCACGGUCCAAUAAAAUUGUAUCAUUUGACAAAGUUUGGUGACUUUGCGUACAAGAAGUGUGAGUGAGCUGAUGAUGUGUGUGUGUCUCUCUCUAUAUAAACUCUUUUCGGAAGGACUUGGGAGCUCAUGAAAAUUGGGAUAUAAUCUCACAGAGAUGGUGAGGACUCUGCACUUUGGGAAGACGACUUUAAAGAAAGGGGCAUGGAGCCGUGAAGAAGAUCAGAAGUUGAUCAAUUACAUCAACAGAUAUCGCAUUUGGAUCUGGAGUGAGAUGCCAAAAGCUGCAGGUUUGUUAAGGUCUGGGAAAAGUUGUAGACUUCGAUGGGUGAAUUAUCUAAUGAUUUAUUUUCAUAUUGUAGAUAUGAGACCUUGUUACUAGAAGCCUUUUACAAACUCGAGCUUUUCCACUACCAAUUACUGUAAUGGUUAUUGAUCCAACAGAGAUGAAGUUAUUUUCUGGUGGUAUAGAUUACUGGUGGAUAUUUCUUUUUUGUAUACGGAGGACAUCAUUUUUGUAUGAUUAUCUGAUUGUGUGGAAUUAUUUUUUGGCGUUGGAUUAUAUUUGGUUUGUAUAGAAUUUGAUGUUACAGGACCAAAUUUUUGGAUGGUUGAAAGUGAAAUAGAA